rnacentral:lncRNA from 1 species
UCUUGAACUGUAGAUUCCAAAAUCCCCGCGUGUUGUGGGAGGGACUCGGUAGGAAGUAAUUGAAUCAUGGGGGAAUUACUUGCAUGCUGUUCUUGUGCUAGUGAAUUCUCAUGAGAUCUGAUGGUUGUAUAAGGGUCUUUUCCCCUCAUUUGCACAGCACUUCUCCUUGCUGCUGCCAUGUGAACAAGAACAUGUUUGCUGCCCCUUCAGGGAUGAUUGUAAGUUUCUUGAGGCCUCCUCAGAGCUGCAGAACUAUUCAAUAUACAACGUUGAGCUGCAAAAUCAAAGAGUGUUAUUCUACAGUAACAUGAGUGUGGACAAAUAAAAAAGAAAUCAUAUUGAUGGUAAGGACUAAAAUGAACACUCAGACCAUACUUCCUUUUUCUGAC